rnacentral:tmRNA from 1 species
GCCCUUUUCAUUUGCGCGCGAGUGUCUAUAUGGGUCCUGCCGGUUUCGACCGGCUAUGGUGAUAAACUGCGGCGUGCAAUAGGCGCAGCGGACCCGGGGGCGGUACCCGGCGGCUCCACCACCACCACCCGGUAUCCAGGCCGGGGCCUGCGUUGUCGCAGGGUGAUGACGGGGCCGAACUAGGAUCGACGUGUGUUGAAAAGCGCUGUUUUUGCCCGGGCUGAGUAACCCGUUCAAGGCUCAAAACCCAAUAAGUGCCAACGACAACGACGCACUUGCUCUCGCCGCGUAAUUCUAGGGGCUAACGCCCUGAAGUUACAAAGCUAGAACGCGGUUGGACCGACCGGUCAACAGAACGGAUUCCGGGGGCCCGGGGUGGGCCUAGCAACAGAACCACCCCACU